GCACAAGCUGGGGAUUGUGCAGGGGAGAGGGGCAGAGAGAGAGAGAGAGAGAGAGAGAGAGAGAGAGAAUCUUAAUCAAGCUCCACGCUCAGCUUGGAGCCCGAUGUGGGGCUUGAUCCCACGACCCUGUGAUCAUGAUCUGAGCUGAAAUCAAGAGUCUGGAUGCUCACCCAACUGAGCCACCCAGGCGCCCCAGGAAUUUUUGUUUCCUGCUGAAUUCCCAGCACAGAGACCAGUGCUUGGCUGCCACAUGGUUGGUACACGAUACUCCUUGAAUGAAUGAGUACCAAUUCGGUAUGUAAAUGUAACCUAAAUUUGUGUCUGCUUAUCGAUGCAGAGAACUCAAACCACAGAAACGUCAGUGUUAUUCUUGACUCCUCCCUCCUUCUCAGCAACGCCUUCCUCGCUCUAUCACUGAAGCACAUUGAUUCAAUGUCCAGAAUGCACCUUUGAUUUGCCCACCCCCUCCACCUGCCCCAGGCCACUAGAGCGAUGCUCUCCCAACUGGCCUCCCUCCUUACAGCUUAACACCAAUCUUCCUCCUUCGCUGUCAGCUAACGUGAAUUGGCUAUGUUGAUUCCCUGGCUUAGAACCAUUUCAAAAAUUCAUCUUGCUGCAGAAGUCUUUAUUUACUUACCACUGUUACUUAGCUCCUGCUAUGUAUCAGGCACUGCUCUAGGCACUGGGGGAUGCAGCCGUGAAGAGGCAGUCCUGCCCCUAGUCAUUCUAGUGGUGGAGAUAAUGGUAAACAGGGGAAAUCAAGUAGCUUGUUACCUAGAGAUGAGUGCCAAGGACCUUCAUUCAUUCAUUUGACUUGAGAAAUGAAAGCCCAGGAAGGAUUAGAAGUCCCCAAGCUGGUAGUCUGGGGGUCAGAGCCCAGUGGGGUAAGGAGAGCAUCCACGCAUGGGAACAAUGCGGUGCAGCUUGUCACAGCCUGAGAAGGGCAAGGAGGGCAUCCGUAGAGGAAGUCAGUCCUGUGAGGUGACUCAGCCCAAGGGGAGAGAAGGGUGUGCAUUCAGGGGGCAGACUGGCACAGGGACUGGAGGCUAAUCAGGGAAAAGGUUUCCAUGCAGGAGAGGGAGUGCCAGCAGAGGGAGAGAAAGAUGAAAAGAAAGAACACUAGAAUGAGCUCCAUGGUAUUGGGUUGAAAUUGGAGGUAUCUGUGUGAACUUGUGGUUCUGUGUAUACAUUCUACGUUUAUAUAGAACCACAGAUGUGUGUGUAUAAUUUAUGUACACACUUACAAAUAUUCCCUAGUUCUGCCUAUUGGAAGCAGCUGAAAGCAGUGACAUCCCAAUAAUCUUGAGCACCCUGGCUCUCAGAUCUUGGCUUCUAAAUACCAUUUUCCACUAAAAGGGACCAGAACUUCAUGGAGAAACGAUACAUCCUGUGCUUUUCUUUCCCCAACGCUGGGCCUGUGGCUGGCUGUUUCUUCAAUCACCAUCUUAAUCGAGUGAUCAAAGUGGACAUGACCAGAAAUGGGACAGAUUAACACCGCGUGCCAUCUGAUAAGAUGCCGUGAGAAGAGCAUCGCAUCACUUCUGGGACAUUCUUGCCAAAGGUACACAACCCAGGCCCAGUCACGAGCAAACCUCAGACAACCUCAACUCGAAGGAAAUUCUGCAAAAUUAUUAGCUCGUAAUCCUCAAAAGUGUCAAGGUCAUGCAAGUCUGGGAAAGGCGGCGUAAACGUGAUCCCUUUGCUCUAUAAAAGACCUUAUUAGGAACAAUUGGCUGGGCGGGGUGCCUGGGUGGCUCAGUCAGAGGAGCCUCCGACUUGGGCUCAGGUCAUGAUCUCACGGUUCGUGAGUUUGAGCCCCGCAUGGGGCUCUGUGCUGACAGCUCGGAGUCUGGAGCCUGCUUCGGAUUCUGUGUCUGCCUCUCUCUCUCUGCCCCUCCCCCCUCCACUUGCGCUGUGUCUCUCUCUCUCUCUCAAAAAGAAAUAAACAUGAAAACAAAAAAAAAGAACAGUUGGCAAAACUUGAACCGGGUCUUGAGAUGAGAUGGCGGUAAUGGGUUGGGGUGCGUUUUCUGACGGCGGCGGCUGCCCCGUGAUCACGUAGGGGGGUGCAGCUUGGAGGACAUUCACUGAAGUCUUCAGGGUGGGAGAUCAGCAGAUCAGCGGCUUAUUCUCAGAUCCUGCGGAAAAAUAAAAUUCUUUGUACUCUG